CGUAUUUCCGCAAUAAGAGCAUAUAUAAACCCUGUUGAGAGUUGAGACAGACUAUAUGUUGGUUUUGGUUUUAGUUUUGUGUUCCGCAAGUUGAAGUAUUAUUUGAAAGGUAAGCUUUUGUAUUUUACCGUUUGGUACUGUGGUUAUAUGAUAUAUUGAUUCAGGUAUAGAUCUCAUUAAGCCAGUAUCGUGCAACAGAUGAUGGUCAACCUGCAGUUCUCAGAGUGAGAAAAUGUUCAUUCUUUUAUUGUAUAUAGUAGUCUUGUACUUGGUGGUGAAUAAAUAGAAUCGAGAAAUGUAGUUUACUUGCUCUUUUAAGUGUCAACAUUACUGAAGUUAGCCAUGUUUGGCUUCACUCUUUGCAUGGACUCGAGUUGUCGCUCCAGAAACAUAUGGAGCUCACUGCUCCAGACUUUGAUCGGAGCGUUCCAGCUACAUGAUAGUGUUGGGAAAGCAUUAAGCUACGUUUACACGCUUCGAUUUGUCGGGCCGAUUUUGGUAAAUAAUCGAUGCCCCUUCUUCGACAUUUAGCGAUUUAAACGUUCAAUUGAGGCUGUCCGCUCUCUCGUCUGUUCAUGUUAUAGUUAUCUGCGUGCGAAAAGUUUUCAACAACUUUACAACGGAAGAAAAAUCGUUGAAUCGUGAGAAAAAUCUGUGGUUUUGUUACAGUUUUUCUCCCGAUUUUGUGAAUCGCAAGGUGCUGACGCGAGUACUGACGACAGGUUAUUUACAUACAGCGAGCAAAAUCGGCCCGACAAAUCGCAGCGUGUAAACGUACCUUAAGACUGACAGCUAACCAAAGGCGCAUGACUGUCAACUCUCAUCCUCGUUUCAUCCGCGCUCAAUGUUUCUCAGAAGGCUUUGGAUUUUUCUUAUUAUUUGCAUUAGCUACCAACACUGGCACAGACAGUUUCCCAAGAUCAAUGUUUUUUUCUACAAUUUAUAGAUAAAAUUCAGUUGUGGAAUUAUCAUGAAGACUUUUGCUAUUGUUGUUUUGGCUUUCAUUGUUGCUUUUGGCAACUGCGCAGAUCCUACAGAGGAAAACGAAGUAAAUCGUAAGUAAUAUCAGGUCGAUUUCUAUAACUACAAUCAUCUUCAAAUGUAUUUUUUUCUGUCUUGGUGUACAAUGUACUAGGUGAAUAUAUGAUCCUUGUGAUGUUACUCUGAGUGUAGAUCCACACCGGGCAAGAUCAGUUGGCAGAGCAUUGGGCUAGUAUUCCAAAGGUCGUAGUUUCGAUUCCCACCGUGGCCAAAGCAUCAGAUUCAAAUGUGUUGGAACAGAUGCCCCUAUAUUAUUAUGACAAACUUUGAUCCCCCCGCCCCCUUUUCUGUGGUCGGGUAAACAACAUUGAAUGAGAAGGGAGUUAUAAAUGUUUAUAAUAAUUUGCAUAUAUCCAGUGAUGAACUAAAACCACAAAUGUCCCAACAACUUUUGAAAAUGAUUGCUACCUAAAUCAUAAUCCCAACCCUUAAAUACUAAUCUCAAACCUAACCAUAAUCGUAAUCUUAACUAUAUAAUCCAGAUCUCACAAUUUCAUCUAAUCUUAAACCUGGUUUACACUAUCAAAGUUUCUGUGAUCACAGUAGGAAUUUUGCAUCGGUAAAUUCUAAGUUUUGAAGGAUUUGUAAGAAAUGUUUGAGGAAACUGACUCACUGUUUAACACUGAGUUAGUUUCCUCAAACAUUUCUUACAAAUCCUUCAAAACUUAAAAUUUACCCAUGCAAAAUUCCGACUGUGAUCACAGAAACUUUGAUAGUGUAAACCUGCCUUUAUAGUGAUGUAUAGUCUAUUUGUCAUAAUUGCGUUCCAUUCUAUUUCAACAGGUAAAACGUUCUGCGAUUGGCCUGAUUGCACAUGUUAUUACUACAAGGAUCCUUGCCCACAAGGAUACUGGGAUUGCCCUUCAACGAAAUAUUGUACUCUGCGAACCAACAAACCUUGCUGCCACAAUUAACACAGAAACAGAAGCUUAAUGGACAAUUAAUUAAUAUCAACGUUGGGCCUUCAUGGAACAGUAUAAUUAAAUUUGGUGUUAUAGAACUAUUGCGUAAAAAUGCAUGGGGUUUUUCCAUGAGAUAUAAUAAUUGUAAUGAUUUUUGAAUCGGUUUGCUUGCUAAUAAAUGUAGUCUUGUACGCUGU